CUAUACUUUAUAGGUGCUUAUCUGAUAUUUGAGCCAACCUUAAUUCUCUCUUCAGAGCAUGUCUGAUUCUUUCCCCUGGCUUGGAAAAUACAGUGACUCAACUCUCAGUCUGAGAAGAGCAACUGGGAGCUCAGAUUUCCAGACACAUCCUCCGUGAAGCAAAACUUCAGAGAAAGACCUACCAUCAACUUAGAUUAUUAAAUCUUUUGGAGAGAUUUAGUGAAGAUGAUGCCAAAGAAAUAUCCUGGACUCACCUCUGGUGAACACAAAUCUACAGCCACAUAAGGAAUGAUGCUCACUGAAAAGAAUCUGAAAGCUAGCUGAACAGCACCUCCACAACAAAGGAUGAAAGGAUCACAUUGAGACAGGUAGGAAGAGCAGAGACAUGGUCUUGCAAGAAAUCUCACCCCAGGCUCUGCAACCCACAGUU
rnacentral:lncRNA from 1 species